CACGUGUGUAUUCACAUGCAUACACAGGUGUGCACACACACAGAUGUCUAUGUUGCUGAAGAGAGGAAGGAGAAUUGCAGGAAAGUGCGUUUGAGGGCCUGGCAGUGUGUGUGAGGCUGCUGGAGCUCUGCCGCCCGCUUUCUCUUACUGACCAGCACAUGACUGAGCAAGUCGCUGAACCUAUGUGGACGCUCAGUCCAUCACCUUUAAGUGGAGGUUGGGCGGGAUUAUCCAAAGCUCCUUUUCAGCUCAAAAGGCCUAUGAUUCCAGUACGAAUGCUCCGCAGCCUAGUGAUGCCUCACUGAAAGCAGCUUAAAGUGGCUUCACGCUGACUGCACUGUCGUGCUCCUGCCAUGAACGAUGCGGGGCACAUGUGACUUGCUGUGUCAGCCCUUCUAGUGGGUUUACUCUAAUCCUCCAUCUCAGGCAACUGUGUUCUGGUGGCCUUUCGAAACGUCCUCCUGAAGAGCUGCACUUGGUGUGACCUCUAACUCUGUGGCCCUCAGGGCUGGUGGUGUUGAUGAACUGUCGCAGAGGACUUUGGAGGUCUCGGCUGGUGUCCCUCCCACCUGCAGGGCGUAGGCCACCCUGGGCUCCUGGCUCCAGAGGGAGCGCACACCACUUGGCGAAGAUGUGAACGUGCUCUGCAGCCUCUUUCAGCUCCACAUGCCUAAAUGCAGACAGCAGGAGCUGUGCUGCUUGGAAGGGUUUGGGGCCAGAUCAAAGAGAAACGCACGUGAAGAAAUGUUUCUUCAUUCUUUCGUCUAUGAUUCAUGCAAGGAGACAGAACCACUGUUUUGCAAGACCUUUCCAUGAGGUAGAAAGGACAUCAGUGUUCACUCAGUAAGAGAAUCGUGGUGGCAGGAUUCCUGCAGCCCCCUGGAUGGCUUCAACUGGCUGGACACACAGAGGCUGCCCACGCCGAGGGUCCAGGGGUCUGUACCACUCUCUUCGUCUGUUUUGUGGUGCUACAGCAGAAUACCACAGACUGGGUAAUUUAUGAGGAAAAGACAUUUAUUGUCACAGUUCUUGAGGCUGGUAAGUCCAAGAUCAAAGGGCUGGCAUCUGACGAGGGCCUUC